UGUGGAACUUAAAAAUCAGUAGCCACUGCUCACAAACUAUAAACCUAAUAGGCCCACUAACUAAAAAUGCUGGCUCACAUUUUUUGGUUGGGGCGACCUUGGAGAAAAGACAAUCCUCCAAAAACAAGACCAUACCUCUUAACCAAGAGCAACAUCUCAACGUACUAACAGUAACCAGACCCAAUAUAAUUGAUAAAUGGACCAAGCUACCCCA
rnacentral:rRNA from 1 species